UACAGAGGGUGCGAGCGUUAAUCGGAAUUACUGGGCGUAAAGGGUGCGUAGGCGGCGCGGUAAGUCGGGUGUGAAAUCUCGGAGCUUAACUCCGAAACUGCAUUCGAUACUGCCGUGCUUGAGGACUGGAGAGGAGACUGGAAUUUACGGUGUAGCGGUGAAAUGCGUAGAUAUCGUAAGGAAGACCAGUGGCGAAGGCGGGUCUCUGGACAGUUCCUGACGCUGAGGCACGAAGGCCAGGGGAGCAAACAGG
rnacentral:rRNA from 1 species